rnacentral:lncRNA from 1 species
CUAUUUUCUUUAUGUGUUCAAUUAUGUCAUGAAAACUAUUUUAUUCAAGGUUUUCCUCUCUUCUUUCCUCUAUUCGUCCCCACUCUCCUACCUAUAUUCCUCCCACCCUUUAUACGUUCUAGUACUUUUGGCAUGUCUGAUGUCUCACAGCUCUCAUUUGUAUGCUCCCUCCACUCUACUAGAUUAAUAGAACAUAGCAUCGAUCACAAAAACACUUGGAAUGGACUUCGUCACUAUUCUGCUAGAUACCUAUUGCAAAUUCUUCUUGCAAUGGUUCUUUGAACUUUGUGAAACAGCGGGACACUCUGUACUGGCCUAUUAUUUCUACCACAAAGGCGACAGAGCUUCUCUAACAAUCAUUCAUGUGUCAUUUUGAGUGCUAUAUAUUUUGUUAGCAAAAAAAAGUGGCAUGCUAAAUUAUAUUUUGUUACAAUGUACUACCUUUGAUCUUCAGUUUUGGAUAAUAGUUACAAUUGAAAAAACUUUCCUAAAGCCA